rnacentral:pre_miRNA from 2 species
UCUGUGUGGAAUGUUGUCUGGUUCUAGGCCUUGAGAGGGGACAUGCAUGGUCAUGCCUCGUCUUGUUUGGGCCCUCGGACCAGGCUUCAUUCCCCUCAGA